rnacentral:RNase_P_RNA from 1 species
GCAAAUAACAAGACGGUGCGUUUUCAUGUGGAGGGAGGAAAGUCCGAACACCAUUACAAAAGGUAGCUCCUAACGGGAGCCGGGAAUAAGUAAAAGAGUAGAAGUUCUUAAGGCUUCUAUUCUGUUGCGAAGCCUAGGGCAAGUGCAACAGAAAAUAUACCGCCCAAGUCGCACUCGUUGCGACCGGUAAGGUUGAAAUCGUGGGGUAAGAGCCCACGCACGUCUGACUGGUAACAGUCGGUGUGGUAAACACCUACCAGGUGCAAUGCCAAAUUAGGUAGGCAGCUUGAGUCAUUUGGCGACAAAUGGCCUAGAUAGAUGACCAUCACCACGCUUUCAAGCGCGGUACAAAAUUCGGCUUAUCGAUUUGCUUAG